rnacentral:rRNA from 1 species
CAGUCGACUCCUACGGGGAGGCAGCAGUGGGGGAAUAUUGCACAAUCGGGCGCAAGCCUGAUGCAGCCAUGCCGCGUGUCGUGAAGAAGGCCUUCGGGUUGUAAAGCACUUUCAGUCGUGAGGAAGGUAGUGUAGUUAAUAGCUGCAUUAUUUGACGUUAGCGACAGAAGAAGCACCGGCUAACUCCGUGCCAGCAGCCGCGGUAAUACGGAGGGUGCGAGCGUUAAUCGGAAUUACUGGGCGUAAAGCGCAUGCAGGUGGUUUGUUAAGUCAGAUGUGAAAGCCCGGGGCUCAACCUCGGAAUUGCAUUUGAAACUGGCAGACUAGAGUACUGUAGAGGGGGGUAGGAAUUUCAGGUGUAGCGGUGAAAUGCGUAGAGAUCUGAAGGAAUACCGGUGGCGAAGGCGGCCCCCCUGGACAGAUACUGACACUCAGAUGCGAAAGCGUGGGGAGCAAACAGGAUUAGAUACCCCUGGUAG